rnacentral:rRNA from 1 species
UGGGGAAUAUUGGACAAUGGGCGAAAGCCUGAUCCAGCGACGCCGCGUGUGUGAAGAAGGCCUGCGGGUUGUAAAGCACUUUCGAUGGGAACGAAAUGUGCCGGGCUAAUACCCCGGCAAGCUGACGUUACUCAAUGAAGAAGCACCGGCUAACUCUGUGCCAGCAGCCGCGGUAAUACAGAGGGUGCGAGCGUUAAUCGGAAUUACUGGGCGUAAAGCGCACGUAGGUGGCGACGUAAGUCGGGUGUGAAAGCCCCGGGCUCAACCUGGGAAUUGCAUUCGAGACUGUGUUGCUGGAGUACGGAAGAGGAGGGCGGAAUUCCCGGUGUAGCGGUGAAAUGCGUAGAUAUCGGGAGGAACAUCAGUGGCGAAGGCGGCCCUCUGGUCCAGUACUGACACUCAAGUGCGAAAGCGUGGGGAGCAAACAGG